rnacentral:rRNA from 1 species
GAUGAACGCUGGCGGCGUGCUUAACACAUGCAAGUCGAGCGAAGCACUUAGGAAAGAUUCUUCGGAGGAUUUCCUAUUUGACUGAGCGGCGGACGGGUGAGUAACGCGUGGGUAACCUGCCUCAUACAGGGGGAUAACAGUUAGAAAUGACUGCUAAUACCGCAUAAGACCACAGCACCGCAUGGUGCAGGGGUAAAAACUCCGGUGGUAUGAGAUGGACCCGCGUCUGAUUAGUUAGUUGGUGGGGUAACGGCCUACCAAGGCGACGAUCAGUAGCCGACCUGAGAGGGUGACCGGCCACAUUGGGACUGAGACACGGCCCAAACUCCUACGGGAGGCAGCAGUGGGGAAUAUUGCACAAUGGGGGAAACCCUGAUGCAGCGACGCCGCGUGAGCGAAGAAGUAUUUCGGUAUGUAAAGCUCUAUCAGCAGGGAAGAAAAUGACGGUACCUGACUAAGAAGCCCCGGCUAACUACGUGCCAGCCGCCGCGGUAA